CAAUGGCUUCUCAUCGUGCUUGGGUACGUUCUACUCCAAGGCGUGAGGACAGGCAUCUGCCUUGUUCUUCUGCACUGGGGAUGAAGGUGCCCAGACGGCACCGCACCUGCCCUCCCAGAUCUCCUUUCCCAGCACCUGGGUUGUAGGAAGAUGUGACAGCUUUGCUGUCCCAGCACCUCCCUGGACUGGAGGUGGACCUCCUGCCCACGACAAGGCAUCUGCUAUCCCAGGACGAGGAGCUUCGGGAGCCCAAGGACACCUGGUUGGAUUUCGUUUGGACUUCAUCGCAUUUGCAGCCUCUUAAGAAUGGAAAGGAAUGUUUGUGUCAGCCCUGAUCCUUGCUUCCCAAUGCAGGGGAGAGGGGUGCGGCUUGCGGCCUCUAGUACAGUACAGCAUUGCACGUUAGAAAUGUGGCAAAGCUGCACCGAACAACAUUGGGACAACAGAGAGAGGACAAAGAUGACUGAGGACCUUUGACCCGAGCACACCAUUGUUAUCCCUUGUCUGCAUUCUCUUGCCAUCUUUUUUCUUUACAUCAUUUCACAUCGCAACCCAAACAUUUUCCAUGCUAACAUAGAGUGUUCUUAACCUUCUUUUGAAUCAUUUGUAAUUUACCACUACUUGAGUCAUCACUCCAACUAGACAUUGUUAUGGGUUAAAUUGUGUCUCCCCUGAAUUCAUAUGUUGGAGUCCUAACUCCCAGAAUGUGCCCUUAUUUGGAGAUACGGUCUUUAGGGAGGUAAUAGAGUUGAAAUGAGGUCAUUAAGGUGGGUUCCAAAUCCAAUGACUGGUGUCCUUAUAAAAACGAGAAAUUUGGACCCAGAGACAGACAUGCAUAGAGGGAAGACGAUGUGAAGAUAUGGGGAGAAGACAGCCAUCCACAAGCCAAGGAGAGAGGCCUGGAGCAGAUUCUCCCUCACAGCCUCAGAAGGAACCAACCCCGCUGAUAUCACAGUUCCGGCCUCUAGAACUGGGAGACAAUAAAGUCCUACUGUUUUAAGCCACCAAAUCUAUGGUACUCUGUUACGGCAGCCCCAGUAAACUAACGCAG
rnacentral:lncRNA from 1 species